UACAACUACCGAAUACGGGGUAAUAGCCAUACUCUGGUGGGGAUAAAUAUGAAUUAGGGUUUACAUCUACCGAAUACGGGGUAGAAAACCAAACAACUCUACGUGGGGAUAGAACAAAUCACAAAUUCGCACGGGAAACCAAAAAUAAGGUUUAUAACAAAUCACAAACUCUGUUGGAGAGCAGGAAAAAAAGGAUUUACAACUACCGACUACUGGGUAGAAAAC
rnacentral:lncRNA from 1 species